GUAGUAUGGGUAACACAAGUACCGCUGAUGCGUGUAUUGAAACGUUUGCUGAUCGUAUGAUUUACGCAUGCACGCGGUUAUUCGGUGAAUUUAAAAAUUGUUACAACCCAACAAAGAGCACUUGUGCAGGCUGCAUGGAGCUGCGUGAGCAGGGCGUGAUCCCGGCUACAACCCCGCUGUACGCCGCCCACAGGCGGUGAUCCUGAACGCACACUGUGCCUCCGCCUCGCGUCGACUGACUCGCCUGGCAACCACAACAGCUCGCCUGCAUUAGCGCCUACAGCAACUACAUUCAGCAUCCUUCCACCACAAGCCCAGUCACCUGUAGGCAAGCGUCCAGCAAGGAAAAACUGUUCAAGUACUACUAUCACAGUAAAUCUUACUCAUAUGUACACAAACAAAAAUAAACCCAAAUUGAAAAGACUAAAAGUUCCAACAUUAAAGUUUUUGUAAAACAUCAAGUCUAGAAAGUACUUGAUAUGGUGCCAAUCCAACUGCGUGUGUACCACAACACAAACACAUUCUUUUAUUUCCAGUUUACAGAUAGUACUUUUUUAUUUACAACAAUUGAUUUAAAAAGUGUUUAGUUGACCAUGAAUGAAUGGACUGUAGUUAUCACAUGAUUAUCUAUACCAAUAAAUGAGUAAAAAAUUAA